GUGUUAAGUCCUGCAACGAGCGUAACCCUUUGUCCUUAGUUACCAGCGGUUUGGCCGGGAACUUUAAGGAUACUGCCAGUGACAAACUGGAGGAAGGCGGGGACGACGUCAAGUCAUCAUGGCCCUUACGACCAGGGCUACACACGUGCUACAAUGGUAGGUACAGAGGGCAGCUACACAGCGAUGUGAUGCGAAUCUCAAAAAGCCUAUCGUAGUCCAGAUUGGAGUCUGCAACUCGACUCCAUGAAGUAGGAAUCGCUAGUAAUCGCGGAUCAGAAUGCCGCGGUGAAUACGUUCCCGGGCCUUGUACACACCGCCCGUCACACCAUGGGAGUUGAUUGCACCAGAAGUGGUUAGCCUAACCUUUAGGAAGGCGAUCAUAGGAGUUUUGCCAUCAAGUCUGC
rnacentral:rRNA from 1 species